rnacentral:rRNA from 1 species
UACGGAGGGUGCAAGCGUUAUCCGGAUUCACUGGGUUUAAAGGGUGCGUAGGCGGGCAGGUAAGUCCGUGGUGAAAUCUCUGAGCUUAACUCAGAAACUGCCAUGGAUACUAUUUGUCUUGAAUGUUGUGGAGGUAAGCGGAAUAUGUCAUGUAGCGGGUGAAAUGCUUAGAUAUGACAUAGAACACCAAUUGCGAAGGCAGCUUACUACACAAAUAUUGACGCUGAGGCACGAAAGCGUGGGGAUCAAACAGG